CAAAAAUAAAAUCACUUUGUUCACAUAACUAAAUUGAUUUGCGCUCGCAUAGUCAAGUAUUGAUUGUCCAAAUACGACUUUUCCAACUGUAUUAUUUGUUGUUUGGUGAAGAUUGGUGGCUUUCGAUUCUUACGAAAACUUUGAACAACAUUGUUGGCAGUGCUUUGUAACCAUGGGGGACAUAAAAUGUCUGCAAAAAGAAGAAUCGCAUCAAUUGUUUAUAGUAAAUUAUAUAGGAAUAACGAAAUGAUUGAGUGGAGUAUUAUAAUGGCCAUAGGAGCAACUAGACUGUAUAAAACAAAUAAUAAAAAAAAGUGACUAAAGGCACUAACAAUUUGCUGCCCCUAUUAUAUGUAAACAACUUAUAAUAGAUAGAACCAACAAGAAAAAUUCCUAAAUUUGAAAAAGCUUCAGAUAUUGAGAUUAUGGUAUCAAUUAAACAGUUUUUAGCAGGAUCUAAAUUUAGGGAGGUAACAAAAAAUAUCCCCACAUUCGAGGUGAUACAUCUA